GGGUGUCGGAGCUGCUAUGGAGUCGAAUCGUGGGCACCCAAAUUAUAAGGUUUCCGGCGGGUUCGAGGUAAAUUGGAGCCUUUCCCGGCCAAAUUGGUCUUGGCCACAGGUAUAAAGUUUGCUCUACUCUUUGAGAUCUUUAUUUUUGUAAUUUUUGAGAAUUUUUAGAAAUAGUUAUAUUUUUCAGCAAGUCAGGGCAGCCGACCGCCACUUACGGUGGCGCGUGGCCAGUGGCCCGAUGUUGCCAUUUUAUGAAAAUUCUAAUAUCAUAAAUAUGAAUUUGAUAUCCAAUUCAUGUGUUUUGAUUAUUUGACCCAAUGUUGGUUAUUUUGGUUAUUUGGUUGUGAUAUGUGAAAUUGAAUGAAAUUGAAGUGUGAACUAUGAUUGGCUUGAUCCCCUCGAUGGGUAUGUAGGCAGUCUAACGAGACGUUAAAUGCAGCCAUAAAAUAUGUGAGGUUAAAUAAAUCCAAGAUUAAAGGUUACUAAAAUGGAAAUUGGUCUAUAAGGGGAAAUGACGUUAAAAUAUGAAGAUAAUGUCAUACAUUUGGUAUGGAAUUAUAAUUAUGGAGCGUUAGUGAAACUUAAGUAGAGAUUGUAAUUAUGGAUAGUUAACUAAACUACAUUAAAUAUUUUGGGCAUACUGACAAAUUUAAUUCCUAAAAAUAAAUAUUUCGGGGUCGGGGUCGGGGUGUUACAAAUGAUAUCAGAGCGAAUGAUCCUACUCUACGAGAUGCACUAUUCUUGAGUUUUGUUGGUCUGAAUUAUGACAUGCAUUGUGGUUGCAUUAAUUCACAUUUUUAGGAAUAAAGUGGCAUUCGUGUUUUAUAUGUGAAAUACAUAUAUAAAUUGUAUUAUGAUUGUGGUGCAAUUUCCUUGGUAAAUAUGAAAGUUUCGUUAAUGGGAAUUGUGAUUUGCAUUUAUAUUGCAUUAUUUCAUAAGUUCUAUGAGUAUGACGGAAAUUAUGUGGAAUACAUAUAUUGUGAGUUAUGAUGCUUUGAAUUGAAUUGAAUGGGAGUAGGAAAAUUUUAAAUAUCGUAUUCAUGGUAUAUCUUUGAGGGUGAGCAUUUGAUUAAAGUUUUGGAUUAAUCUUGAAUUGAAUCGAUAUUAUGUUAUGCACUAUGAAAAUGUUGAAUGUUAAGGUGAUUGUGAGGUGGUGAUAAGUAGAUGGAGAAUUUGUAUUAUAACUCACACUUGAGAAAUUGAAUUGGGCAAAAAGGCCCGUGGAUAUAAGGGUGGAUGUGUGAAUUGGGCAAAAGACCCGUGGAUGUGUGAAUUGGGCAAAAGACCUGUGGAUAUGUGAAUUGGGCAAAAGACCCGUGGAUAUAAGGGUGGAUAUGUGAGAUUGGGCAAGAAAGGCCCGUGAAUGUGAAAUGGGGCGAAAAGCCCAUGGAUGUGAAAUUGGGUGAAAAUGGCCCGUGGAUGUGAAUUCGACGGAAAGGGCCCGUGGAUGUGGAAUUGAAAAAAAGAAGAAGAAGAAGAAGAAAAGAAAACGAAAGUGUGAUGUGUAUUGGCCAUGUAUAUUACAAUCUUUUCCAACCUACUAGUCACUGUUGGAGAUAGAAGAAAAUGGUGGUGGAAUCAUUGUGUUGACAAUGAUAAGUGUGGUUAGAAAAUUAAAAUGUUUGGCAAAUGAUAAUUGUGGUUGGAAAUUUGGUAUUCAUUAAAGUCAUGACAAUUUAUCGAAUGAAAAUAAAAAGUAUAUGUUGUGGUUAUGGAUGAACAUGAAUGAAAAUAUGGAAUGAGAUCUUAAGUUAAUUUAAUAUAAACGUUUUCCAGUGAGUUUUUGUGCUUGAUGAGGAGAAUUGACGAGAAAAGUUUAUAAUUAUAAAAUUGAUUGGUUUGGUUUGCCUUAAUGAAUUAUGGCUUGAAAUUUGAUAUUUGAUUGUGCCAAUAUCGUUUAUGGCCAUAAUUUCUGGUAUUCGUGUUGCCAAAAGUAAUGGGAAGCGGAUUACCAAUAAUUACGAUGUAAAUUUCCAAAUAGCAGGAAUGGAAUUUCGUAUGAAAAUUCAUUGAGUGAGAAUGGAAUCAUAAAUUGAGGUUAUGAUUUGGUUAUUAUAAUUUAAAAUGGUGGAAAGACCAUGAAGUUUUCUUCAUUUAUUGUUGGUGGAUCUAAGUAAAAUUAUGAAACGAAUUUUUGAGUUUGUUUAAUAUGAACGAAUUUUCAGUUGUGUGAGAUGUGAAAUUUUAUGAAUUAUGGAAAUAAUUGAUGGAGAAAGUGUAUAAUUAUAAAUGUGUUGUUUUGGUUGCCAUGGGUCAUUGUUGGAAAUUGAUAUUGCGAACAAAACUGAUGAGAAGCAUAUAUUCUCUUGGCUAUGUGAUUAGUAAGGAUUAAUUCCGUUGACCGUUAGGGUCGUAAAAUGUAAAUUUCUCUUAUGUGGUUGACGAAAUGUAAAUAGUACUCUGGAAGUGCAGCUCUCUAAUUUAUUCGAGCUGUGGUUACAUUUUGAAACAAUUUAAAAGGGAACAAAUUGACAAAAAGAAAAAAGAUAAAGUUUUUUAAUUUACUAAGGAUAAUUUAGUUAAUUGUGGAUAUGCAUGAAAUCCUAGAAUGAGAGUUUGAGUUCGUUUAGUAUUGAUGAUUGACCAGUUGUAUUUUACGUUCAAUGAAAAGAAUGGAUGAGGAAAGCUUGUAAUUACAAAAAUUAUUUCUUGGGUUGCCAUAUUCAAAAGUCGUCGUUGUUGGAUUCGAUAUCACGAACUGAACAAAUGAAGAACACAUGUUCUUAUGGUUAUGCGAUUAAUAAGGUUUAGUUGUGUAGGCCAAUUCAGUUGUGAUAUAUAUAAAUUAUCUUCUUUGGUUAAUAGAAUGUGAAUGGUGCACUAGAAGUGCGAGUCACUAAAUUAUGUAUUUGUGGAUGCACUUAAAAUUAAUUGGAAAGAAAAACGAUAAAAAAAAAGAUUUAAAAGGCUUUAAAUUUACUAUGUGUAACUUAGUUAAUUGUGGACAUAAAGAAAAAUCAUAAAGUGAGAUUUUGAUUUCGUUCCAUGCUAACGGUACUGUGGAUUUGGUUUUAAACUUAUUUCCAUUACCUAGUGAGUGUGAUUGGAAAUUUCCAUGUUUUGGCUGGAAUUCUUGAUAUGUGUUUUGUCAAUUUGAUUGGGUUGGUUUGAAAUUUUGAUAAUUACUUAGCCACUGAUGAUUCUGCCUUGAAAUUCUGAUAAUUAAUUUACAAAAGAUGGGUAUAGCUAGAAUUUAUGAUAACCGUGGUUAUUAUGCUAGUAUGUAUCUAGCCGAUGGUUGAUGUUUUGGUAUCUAUUUAGCCAACGAGAAUUAUGGUUUAGGGUUGAUAUUAUUUUUGCCAAAUGGUUUGGAUAUUUAUUUUGCCAAUGAAUGUAGCUGAGAAUUUGAGAGUGUGAGUGAGAAUCACGGUUAUUAUUCAUUGAAUGCUUAUUUUGGAGCCUAAAUAAAGUCAUAAGACUGAGAUUAUGAUAUCUUUCACUAUUAAAGGAAUGGUGGAAACAAUUCUAAUUCUUUGUCACUAUUCAAUGGUUGAAAUCUCGGGGACGAGAUUUAUUUUAACGGGGGGUGAUUGUAAUACCCUGAAAAUUUAAAUAUAUGAAUUUUAUAUUCAUAAUUGUGAAUAUGUGAAGAAAAUCGAAAUUAAAUCGAUGUACGGUCCCAAAGAUAGAAUUGGGAAAAUCGUAAAGUUUUGUUCCAUGAAUUAUUAUAAUGUACGUAUUCGUGGUGUUGAGAGUUUAUAUUAUUUUUUGGGAAUUUAUAUUAAUUUAUUUGAGUUCAAUUUUAAAUUAAACUGCUUACAAGGUUUAAAGUUUGGAAAUUAACUAUUUAAAAUCUGUAGACUUUUUUAGGUCACCAUUUAUAUUUUUGAAUAGGGCUUGAACUCACGAACGCGUAGGCGCAAACUAUUCGUGAAACAGAGCUAUAACGAAAGAAGUUAUUAAUGUUUAAAGUCAAGGAUAAAUUGGUAAUUUUAACCUUCUUUAGAAGGCUCUAGAAAAUCUGGAGCCAUGUGACAUGCCACAUGUGUGGCUGGGAUUAAAGGAAAAAAAAAUGAGAUGGACGGCUGUGAUGAAAAGAAAGGGUUAGAAAUGAGAGAAAUGAGGGAAAAAUGAGGGGGGAACGGACAAAUGACAGGGAGAGGAAAUAAGAGAAAGGAGGAAAGGGAGAAGGAGGGGAGAAUAUGACCCUCCCUUUUAUCCAAGGUUCUAAAAAACACUAGGCGCUAGU
rnacentral:lncRNA from 1 species